rnacentral:tRNA from 1 species
AUACGAGUGCCAGAGCUGUUAUGGGUUGGUUUUAAGCAUCAAAUACGGGUUUGAACCCCUUGUAUA